rnacentral:rRNA from 1 species
UACGUAGGGUGCAAGCGUUGUCCGGAAUUAUUGGGCGUAAAGGGCGCGUAGGCGGCCACCGCAAGUCGACUGUGAAAUCUCCGGGCUUAACCCGGAAAGGUCAGCCGAUACUGCGGGGCUAGAGUGCAGAAGGGGCAACUGGAAUUCUCGGUGUAGCGGUGAAAUGCGUAGAUAUCGAGAGGAACACCUGCGGCGAAGGCGGGUUGCUGGGCUGACACUGACGCUGAUGCGCGAAAGCUAGGGGAGCGAACGGG